rnacentral:sRNA from 1 species
GGCUUUUCGAAGCGUGCCUCGAGUCGG